rnacentral:lncRNA from 1 species
CUGGAAAUGCAAUGGCUGUGGAGCCUGAAAUGGUGUCACAUGCGGCAGCAACUAAUGUCGGGCUUCAGCGGAGUUCCUAUAAUGAACCGAAUUUCCUUCCAUUUGCUCCUGAUCUUAAUGUGAGAUUUCUGGCACUGGGUUCACCUAGUUCUAGUGUGCCAAUUGGUUCUUCCCAGCGCCCUGAUUUAGCAUUGCAGCUCUAAUAAUUAGCCAACACGAUUUCCGUAUGAUGUGGCUUGUAUGUGCUAAUUGUAGUAUUAGGUCAAGUACGCCUGUAUAUGAUAAUAAGAUUUGGUCGAAUUUACUGACUACAUUCUUCAUUGGAAGGUCGGUUGAGUAGUGGUUCCUCAAGAAGUCAUAGGAUCAUAUUGUCGGUGAGAUUUUGUACAGAUUGGUAUGUCAAAUUCUUUCACAGGGUUAAAAAAUUACAGAUUUGUAUGCAACAUACGGUAUCUAACAUUGUAUAUUUUGAGUUGUUAAUGAAUAUUGUUACCAAUACUACUACUGGUAUUACGUACGAGAUAUCAUUCAUGUCAUGAAUUAUGAAAUGUUCAUGUUUGUAGCAAUGAAGUAAUGCUUAAACUAAUUGAUGCAAAAUAGAGAGCAACUGAUUGCUAAGGGGGGUUGAGUGAUGUUAUAUAAAUUUCAAUUAUAUAUACUUGUGCAUAUAUAAUUAUCUUUAUGUGCAUAUAAAAUUGUCUUUAAAAUUGUGUCCCAUUAUCUAUUAUUAACCAUUGGGAAAACUAUAUCAACAAAUGAUGGUUUUCCAUACAAAUAUCACCAUGUGUCUUUGAUGCCUUUGGAAAUUAGAUCCGUAUAGGAUUACCUGUGUUGGUUUGUGAUAGGACAUGAUAGAGUCCAUGUGUCGCAUGAUUAGCGAAGUAUUCUAGCAAAUUAUAGUCCUUUGACGAGAUACAGAAAGUAUGACUUGGUAUCUUGAUGGACAAGAUGUGAGCCAUGCGAGGUACACUUAUGUCUGAGGUCUAACCAACUCCAACAUUACAUAUAACAUAUAAUUUAUUUAUGUAAUUCGUAUAACACAAAAUAUUAAAUAUUUGUAACAAUUUCUCUGAUUACAUAAAUAUUAUUAAUGUUGUAAUAAUUUGUGUAAUUAAAUAAUAUUUUAUAAGAUUACACUAAAUACUUUAAAAUUAUAAUAUUUUAAUUACAAAAUAUUUUGGAAAGCUCAUCCUCUUAUUUUGUGCUCAAGGUAAAAGUAAAGUAAUAGUUUAAUAGUAUAAUGAUUUAUUUGGCUCUCUAAUUUUAUAAAAAAGUUAUUUUAGUUAAUUUUUUUAUUUUUUUUGUCUUUUGUACAUGUUGAACUUUUAUUUUUUUAAAUUAUCCAAAAAUAGAUGAAAAAAUUAAUGUUAUUUAAUAUUACUGAUCUGGUAUAUACAUAGAUUGUCAUAUAGAUGAGAUGUUAGCAUUUAAUUAAAUUUUUAAAAAAUUUAAAAAGUAUUUUUUAUAAAAAAAUUAAAAAUCAUUAAAAUUUUUAAAACUUAAAAUAAUUAAUUGAAUACUGGUGUGUUAUCCACGUGAUGCUCUACAUGCAUGUAAUGUUAACAAAAUAAAAAAAAACAAUUUUUUCAUCUAUUUUAAAGUGAUUUAAUAAAAAAAUAUAAAUUUAAAGACAAAAAAAAAUAUCAAAAACUAAAAUAACCUUUUUAUAAAAUUAGAGGGUAAAUAAAUAUUAUACCUAAAUUGAUUUACCACAAAAGAGGUGCAACGCUGCAAAUCAAUGCAACUUAGUUUCACGUGAGUGCUGGGCACGCGGACAUCCUUCUAUUUCACGUGACUUUCCCUCCACGCUGGCAUCUGUUCCCCCCUCUCUUCUCCCAAUGUUCCUUCAUAUUAAAAACAUAAUAAAAAAGUAAAUAAUAUAAAAUAAAUAAAUCAAACAGAAAUCAAAAGAUUGUUUAGAUAGCAAAAAAAGAAGAAAAAAAAAAAACGAAAAGGAAAAAGCAAUGGGAGGUGGUGGUGGUGGUGAGAUAGCAGCGGAGACAAGGAAGAAGAGGAAGAAGGGAAGGCCCUCUCUCUUAGAACUUCAAAAACGCUCUCUCAAACAACAACAACUGCAGGAGCCGCAGCAACCGCAAUUGCUUCUUCAAAAAACCCCUAAUUCUUCUAUCAAUUCGAACCGCCGAUCCACUCGCCGCCACCCAAAUCUCAACGGUGGGUCCCCAGUUUCCGGAUCGAUUUCCGGAGGAGAAGACGACGACGACGACGACCGCCUACAGAAGAAGCAUAAACCAUUGCUUGGUUUCAAUUCUUCUCGUACUGAUCAGCAUUAUCCGAUUCCUUCGGCGCUCAAUUCGGCCUCCUAUGGGUCCGAUUCGAAUGCCGAUGGUGACAAUCCCGACGCGUCACUCAAGCGUCGCAAGUUUACCGCCGCCAAGGCUGGAUCUGAUCAAAUGGUGAUAAAUCAUACAUUAAUAUAUAGAUUUCGCGGGUUUUUUAAAGUCCUGGUUUUGAAACAGAAUCAAGAAAUUGAUUUUCCUACUUUAUUUGGAUAUUUUAUUUUAGGGUUUUAUUUUGGGAAUCGAAAAUAGCUUCUCAUGCGCCGAAAUUUUAUAAUUGCAACAGAGAUGAACGAAUGAGUUUGACUAAGUCAUGUACCUUUUUUUUAUUGGAUAUUGUUUCAACUUUUUGAUUUUCGGCUAAACUUCAAGUUGUUUUGAACAUAGUUUGUCUUCCUUUUCUUUCCCGAUUUACGAAUUUUCCAUUAUUAUUUUAUUAUUUCUUGUCUUGGAUUUAAUCCUUCCUUUAUUUUUGUGCAAAAUAAUAGAUGCACAGACCAUCAUGUCUGUAAAGCUUCAGUUUGUCUUUUCUUUUCUUUAAUAAUAAUACUUCAAAGUUUUUGUUUUUGUUUUUUUUUUUUGGUACUUGCUUUGCAUUGUUGUAGCUUUUUACUGUAACUUUCCUCAGUGAUUCUUCAAUAAUCAACGCAAGUAUCUCUUUUAAUAGUUUUUUUUUCAUUUAAUUUGGGAGUUAAAUAAAUAUAUGUAUUGACACGAGAGUUUAUCUUAUUUACAGGGAGAAAAGUUAUCGAAAGUGACGGACACUCUUCAUGGUAUAAGUCUAUCUCGGUUUUCAUGAAAAAAAGGCAUUUCUGGGAAUUCUUAGAAAAAAAGAAGUGUUGGGCUUUGUUAACUAUAUUAAUUUUAUUUCAUUUAUAUGUGGACAGGUUCACCGGUGGAGUCUGGCCCCACCCCCACGACGCCUUUGCCAGACAAAAAGUUGUUGGUGUUCAUUCUUGACAGGCUUCAAAAGUAUUUGUUAUUUUUGGCUCAUUUGAUUUUUUUUUUCUUAGUUUAUCUUCCGUUUGACGGGUUUUUAUCCUUUUUACUUAAUCUACUUCCAGGAAAGAUACUUAUGGGGUAUUCUCUGAGCCAGUAGAUCCUGAAGAGGUGCAUUUUGUUUUUCAUUCUUGCAUAAAUCUAGAUUACUGAAAAGUGAAAUCACGGUUCCUGAUAUAAUGUUUGAUUGGUCUUGAUACAGCUUCCAGAUUACCAUGAUAUUAUUGCACACCCAAUGGACUUUUCGACAGUCAGGAAAAAACUUGAUGAGGGAGCUUAUAUUACCUUAGAACAAUUUGAGGUUUGUUUUGCAAGCAUUCUCUUUGCUAAUGUGGAUAAAAUGUUCGUCUAUCCGUCUUCCUCCUGACAUAGUGGAGAGGGAAAGCCAACUAAGUUGUUUGACUGCAUUACUGUCAAUGGUGAUUAAGUUUCUGAUGUUAUUUUCUGGAUUUCUCUGGUUGAUGUGUGUUUUUGUAGCAAUUGUGUAUGGCAAGUCAAGUGUGUGUUGUCAGUCAAGCAAGUCCUUGAAGAAUACUGGAGGCAUGCUAUGCCUUUUGAGAUUACUGUAGUAAAGAUGUUGGCUAUGAUGUUUAAGUACUUCAUUAAGUUCACUUGUUUGGGAUAGCAUUUUGGCCUCUUAUGCCUGGAAGAUUCUUUAAUUUGGUUUGAGAAGAUAAUUACUUGCCUUUGUUUUUUACUGUUCGUAUGAUAUAUAAUUUAUUUGGUACUGCCAAUGGUUUGCCUAUGAUUUGUGGAAUUUGAUUGCAAAACUUGUUUUGUUUAGCAUGGGAUCUUACAGUGUUACUCUUUCCUAGCAGAUAACUAUAUAUGCUGUAAGUUGCUUUUUGUGGUUAACUGAGAAGAUGAAAAUCCUAAUGAAAUGAUUUUCAUGUCAGUAUAAAUGCCCUGGACCAGUGGGGAUAGUCUUUAGAUGCUACAAACAUGUAGUAAUCAAAACUUAGAUUUAGGGGAUAUAGUUUUUCUGGAAUGAUACUUGAUGUAUAACUGAAAAUUUGUGAGUUUGAUUCAUGCAGAUUGAUGUUUUCCUAAUAUGCUCGAAUGCAAUGCAGUAUAAUGCACCAGAUACAAUUUACUUUCGACAGGUUUGUCUAGGUCUCAAUUGUAUUAAUUCCUUUGUCAUGAUACUGUGGUCUCUGUUAUUUUAAACGUCUGGAUUGGAUGGUUAGGCACGAUCAAUGCAGGAGUUGGCUAGAAAGGACUUUGAGAAUUUGAGGCAAGAUAGUGAUGAAGGUGAACCACAAGUGAAAGUUGUGAGGAGAGGAAGGCCACCUGGAAAGAGCCUCAAAAAGUCAUUGGUUUCAUCGUCAUCUAUUGACCAUGUUGGUUCUGAGUACUCCUCAGAUGCAGCACUAGCUGCUGGACGAGAUGCUUCUAGCCUUUCAAACACUUACAAUUUGAGGAAAGCACCUAAUUCCCUCAAACUACGGCCUGCUGAUACAUUUAUCAGGCCCUCCUGGGGUUCUCCUAGCAAAGAAAAUCAUGCCAUUUGUUCAUCUGAAUGGGAGAAUGAAUUUCCAGGUUUGGUAUUUAUCUGACUUUAUAUACAUAUCCUUAAGUCUUUAGCUUUUUUAAUGUAAAAUGUUAUUUACUACAUAUUUUCUGUAUUUCAUAUUGAGCUAUUUUUCUUUCGUUUUGUAGCUUCUGUUGUGAGGGCUGUGAUGAAGUAUGGGAUGAAACAUUUUGCAGUAGAUGAGAACAGGCGUGACACCUACAACCACUCAUCGACUUCUGGACAUGAGCAACAUACCUUUUCCACCUUGGAUGGAGAAUUGAAGCAACUAAUUCCGGUGCGUUUUAUGUUUGUAUAAUGGCAAUAACAGUUAUUAAUGCAUUAGUUAGAAGAUUAUUGUAUGAGCUGUAUAGCUAGAAUGUUUGAUCUACCUUAGACUCAUUGAGCGCAGCUAAGGAAUCCUAAACUUUUUGUUUAUUAAUAAAUUGUAUACAAAAGUUGUGGUGCAGGUGGGUUUGCCCUGGUAAUUUGAUAUGUUUAUAUAACUAGCUAAAAGGGUGUUUGAAUAUUCUGACAACUAGUGUUUAUGAGGGAACAAUACAAAACUAUCCAGAUCAGUGGCAGAAUAGAAUGCUCAAUCCCUUAUAUUGACUAAUUAUUUUUAUCUCCCUCGAUUUUAUUUUGGUCAAUUAUAUUGUUUAUCAGGUUAGUUUGACUGCAGAAAAUGGUAACCCUUUUUCCCCCUUUCAUUGUCUGUCAGGUUGGUUUGAGUGCAGAAAAUGGUUAUGCUACAAGCUUGGCACGUUUUGCUGCAAAUCUUGGACCAGUUGUUUGGAAAAUUGCUUCAAGGAAAAUUGAAAGUGUUUUGCCUAGAGGACUCAAGUUUGGUCCUGGAUGGGUUGGAGAAAACAGGACAGUUGAGCAACCACAAUGUUCCUUUUCUGAUAAGCAGAGAUCUCCGAAUUCUCUAUCUGAUAACCCUCCUGGCAGAUUUUUAUCAACAGCUACUUCUGGUUCAAACUCCAUUGCUGCAAGUAGAUUUCCUUUGCAAGGUAGAGAAGACAUGGAAGCUGUCAGAGGCCUAACUUCUCAAAAUGACUCGACUUCUGCACCUUCUCAUCAGUUUCAGCAAAGUCUUGUUCCACACUCGGGUAUCAAUGGUUCUAUUGGUGGGUUUGGGUUUGGUUACUCCUCUCAAACGGGGUUGGUAACACAGUGUGUAAAUUCUUUGUCUGAAAAGACUACAGUGCCGACUCAAACACACGACAUGAUUUCGGGUGCUAGUGAUUUUCUUCCGAAAGAGGCCAAGUUGGCAGAUAGUUCAAUCGCUUUACAUUCUGGAAAUGCAAUGGCUGUGGAGCCUGAAAUGGUGUCACAUGCGGUGGCAACUAAUGUCGGGCUUCAGCGGAGUUCCUAUAAUGAACCGAAUUUCCUUCAAUUUGCUCCUGAUCUUAAUGUGAGAUUUCUGGCACCGGGUUCACCUAGUUCUAGUGUGCCAAUUGGUUCACCCCAGCGCCCUGAUUUAGCAUUGCAACUCUAAUAAUCAGCUUCCAUAUGAUGUGGCUUGUAUGUGCUAAUUGUAGUAUUAGGUCAAGUACGCCUGUAUAUGAUGAUAAGAUUUGGUCGAAAUU